GAUGAAGAACGUAGCGAAAUGUGAUAAGUAAUGUGAAUUGCAGAAUUCAGUGAAUCAUCGAAUCUUUGAACGCACAUUGCGCCCGCCAGUAUUCUGGCGGGCAUGCCUGUUCGAGCGUCAUUUCAACCAUCAAGCCCCAGGCUUGUGUUGGGGACCUGCGGCUGCCGCAGGCCCUGAAAACCAGUGGCGGGCUCGCUGUCACACCGGGCGUAGUAGAUUUUAUCUCGCUCUGGGCGUGCUGCGGGUUCCGGCCGUUAAAAAACCCUUUUAACCCAAGGUUGACCUCGGAUCAGGUAGGAAUACCCGCUGAACUUAAGCAUAUCAAUAACGGAGGA
rnacentral:misc_RNA from 1 species